GGGAGGCAGCAGUGAGGAAUAUUGCGCAAUGGCCGAAAGGCUGACGCAGCGACGCCGCGUGGAGGAUGAAGUCCGUUAGGAUGUAAACUCCUUUUGCAGGGGAUGAAUGUGCCCUUUCAGGGCCUUGACCGUACCCUGCGAAUAAGGAUCGGCUAACUACGUGCCAGCAGCCGCGGUAAUACGUAGGAUCCGAGCGUUGUCCGGAAUUACUGGGUGUAAAGGGCGUGUAGGUGGGCUCCUAAGUCGGGGGUGAAAUCCCGUAGCUUAACUGCGGAAUUGCUUCCGAUACUGGGGGUCUUGAGUACGGCAGAGGGAGAUAGAAUUCAUGGUGUAGCGGUGAAAUGUGUAGAUAUCAUGAAGAAUACCGGUAGCGAAGGCGGUCUCCUGGUCCGUUACUGACACUGAGGCGCGAAAGCGUGGGGAGCAAACAGGAUUAGAUACCCCGGU
rnacentral:rRNA from 1 species